GGUUAAGCGACUAAGCGUACACGGUGGAUGCCCUGGCAGUCAGAGGCGAUGAAGGACGUGCUAAUCUGCGAUAAGCGUCGGUAAGGUGAUAUGAACCGUUAUAACCGGCGAUUUCCGAAUGGGGAAACCCAGUGUGUUUCGACACACUAUCAUUAACUGAAUCCAUAGGUUAAUGAGGCGAACCGGGGGAACUGAAACAUCUAAGUACCCCGAGGAAAAGAAAUCAACCGAGAUUCCCCCAGUAGCGGCGAGCGAACGGGGAGCAGCCCAGAGCCUGAAUCAGUGUGUGUGUUAGUGGAAGCGUCUGGAAAGGCGCGCGAUACAGGGUGACAGCCCCGUACACAAAAAUGCACAUGCUGUGAGCUCGAUGAGUAGGGCGGGACACGUGGUAUCCUGUCUGAAUAUGGGGGGACCAUCCUCCAAGGCUAAAUACUCCUGACUGACCGAUAGUGAACCAGUACCGUGAGGGAAAGGCGAAAAGAACCCCGGCGAGGGGAGUGAAAAAGAACCUGAAACCGUGUACGUACAAGCAGUGGGAGCACGCUUCGGCGUGUGACUGCGUACCUUUUGUAUAAUGGGUCAGCGACUUAUAUUCUGUAGCAAGGUUAACCGAAUAGGGGAGCCGAAGGGAAACCGAGUCUUAACUGGGCGUUAAGUUGCAGGGUAUAGACCCGAAACCCGGUGAUCUAGCCAUGGGCAGGUUGAAGGUUGGGUAACACUAACUGGAGGACCGAACCGACUAAUGUUGAAAAAUUAGCGGAUGACUUGUGGCUGGGGGUGAAAGGCCAAUCAAACCGGGAGAUAGCUGGUUCUCCCCGAAAGCUAUUUAGGUAGCGCCUCGUGAAUUCAUCUCCGGGGGUAGAGCACUGUUUCGGCAAGGGGGUCAUCCCGACUUACCAACCCGAUGCAAACUGCGAAUACCGGAGAAUGUUAUCACGGGAGACACACGGCGGGUGCUAACGUCCGUCGUGAAGAGGGAAACAACCCAGACCGCCAGCUAAGGUCCCAAAGUCAUGGUUAAGUGGGAAACGAUGUGGGAAGGCCCAGACAGCCAGGAUGUUGGCUUAGAAGCAGCCAUCAUUUAAAGAAAGCGUAAUAGCUCACUGGUCGAGUCGGCCUGCGCGGAAGAUGUAACGGGGCUAAACCAUGCACCGAAGCUGCGGCAGCGACGCUUAUGCGUUGUUGGGUAGGGGAGCGUUCUGUAAGCCUGCGAAGGUGUGCUGUGAGGCAUGCUGGAGGUAUCAGAAGUGCGAAUGCUGACAUAAGUAACGAUAAAGCGGGUGAAAAGCCCGCUCGCCGGAAGACCAAGGGUUCCUGUCCAACGUUAAUCGGGGCAGGGUGAGUCGACCCCUAAGGCGAGGCCGAAAGGCGUAGUCGAUGGGAAACAGGUUAAUAUUCCUGUACUUGGUGUUACUGCGAAGGGGGGACGGAGAAGGCUAUGUUGGCCGGGCGACGGUUGUCCCGGUUUAAGCGUGUAGGCUGGUUUUCCAGGCAAAUCCGGAAAAUCAAGGCUGAGGCGUGAUGACGAGGCACUACGGUGCUGAAGCAACAAAUGCCCUGCUUCCAGGAAAAGCCUCUAAGCAUCAGGUAACAUCAAAUCGUACCCCAAACCGACACAGGUGGUCAGGUAGAGAAUACCAAGGCGCUUGAGAGAACUCGGGUGAAGGAACUAGGCAAAAUGGUGCCGUAACUUCGGGAGAAGGCACGCUGAUAUGUAGGUGAGGUCCCUCGCGGAUGGAGCUGAAAUCAGUCGAAGAUACCAGCUGGCUGCAACUGUUUAUUAAAAACACAGCACUGUGCAAACACGAAAGUGGACGUAUACGGUGUGACGCCUGCCCGGUGCCGGAAGGUUAAUUGAUGGGGUUAGCGCAAGCGAAGCUCUUGAUCGAAGCCCCGGUAAACGGCGGCCGUAACUAUAACGGUCCUAAGGUAGCGAAAUUCCUUGUCGGGUAAGUUCCGACCUGCACGAAUGGCGUAAUGAUGGCCAGGCUGUCUCCACCCGAGACUCAGUGAAAUUGAACUCGCUGUGAAGAUGCAGUGUACCCGCGGCAAGACGGAAAGACCCCGUGAACCUUUACUAUAGCUUGACACUGAACAUUGAGCCUUGAUGUGUAGGAUAGGUGGGAGGCUUUGAAGUGUGGACGCCAGUCUGCAUGGAGCCGACCUUGAAAUACCACCCUUUAAUGUUUGAUGUUCUAACGUUGACCCGUAAUCCGGGUUGCGGACAGUGUCUGGUGGGUAGUUUGACUGGGGCGGUCUCCUCCUAAAGAGUAACGGAGGAGCACGAAGGUUGGCUAAUCCUGGUCGGACAUCAGGAGGUUAGUGCAAUGGCAUAAGCCAGCUUGACUGCGAGCGUGACGGCGCGAGCAGGUGCGAAAGCAGGUCAUAGUGAUCCGGUGGUUCUGAAUGGAAGGGCCAUCGCUCAACGGAUAAAAGGUACUCCGGGGAUAACAGGCUGAUACCGCCCAAGAGUUCAUAUCGACGGCGGUGUUUGGCACCUCGAUGUCGGCUCAUCACAUCCUGGGGCUGAAGUAGGUCCCAAGGGUAUGGCUGUUCGCCAUUUAAAGUGGUACGCGAGCUGGGUUUAGAACGUCGUGAGACAGUUCGGUCCCUAUCUGCCGUGGGCGCUGGAGAACUGAGGGGGGCUGCUCCUAGUACGAGAGGACCGGAGUGGACGCAUCACUGGUGUUCGGGUUGUCAUGCCAAUGGCACUGCCCGGUAGCUAAAUGCGGAAGAGAUAAGUGCUGAAAGCAUCUAAGCACGAAACUUGCCCCGAGAUGAGUUCUCCCUGACUCCUUGAGAGUCCUGAAGGAACGUUGAAGACGACGACGUUGAUAGGCCGGGUGUGUAAGCGCAGCGAUGCGUUGAGCUAACCGGUACUAAUGAACCGUGAGGCUUAACCUU
rnacentral:rRNA from 1 species